UACGUCAAACGUACUGACAUUCCUUCCUAAGAAGCUUUAAAGAUAACGUGCAUAUCACUGUAUAUUUUCGAACAUGCCCUGUAGAGAGAGUACAGUGUCUCCACGGGUCUUGCGUUCGGGAAUAUUUUCGUAACAUCACCCGAAUUAUGCCGAAUGAAGGACAGGUAGUAUGCUUUCGUAGAGGGAAGCGUGUGCAAGUGGCCUUGAUAAGAAGUUCUUAAAAGUUAUUAUAUUCGGAAAAUGUGCGUGAAACUGGUAAGAGAUCUGUGUUAUCGUGUGAUAUUAUAUUGUGUGUUGUGUGUGUGAAUUAUUUUGUGUCGGGAAAAAAGCUAAAGACGCAGUACCAAGUCAAUUCUGUAACCUCAAUUGUGGAAGGGGUGGCUACGUGACUUUCCACUGUCAGAGAAUGGCGGACAGCUCUUGCAGGAAGAAAUGGCGACUAUCAAGUUCAAAGUAGGUGGCCUCUGUGACAGAUGCAAAUAGCCUUGAUGGCUCAACUUCACUGAGAUGGUUCUUUGAGAUGAACGUGCAGAACCGCUGCGGGAAUAUCGCAGAGCCCUUCGCUGCGCAUAGGCGACACUCACCUUCACCUUGUACCGAGGUUAAAUAAAUCGUGCUCACAAAUGUGCCAGAGAAGAACAGUAAUCCGUUCUUCAGUUGCAGAAAGAAAAAGGGGGAAAAAGUAGUUUGAAAGAAGGAAAAUCUGUGAUAGAUUGACGUCUUCUCGUAUAAUUCGGCCCAAUCAAUCACCGGGCUCAGGACGAGAAAGAAGCUACCAGACCAGAUCCUCCUCCAUGGGGGAUUACCGCAAUGCAGUAGCAGCUUGAAAGGACCCGCCCAGAGGUCGUUCGGCGACAGUGAGGAAACAGGAACCUGAAGGAAGAUUUGGAGCGUUGAGGACUAAAGGAACAGGGUAAAGAAUCUGGCAGUUUAUGGAGAAAUUGAGGCCCGGGCAAAGCGUGCGAUGUGGAUUCUGUAUAUCUCUUCUGAAAUAACACACUCGUACUUGGAAAUACGAUCUUUUUAAAUUGAAAUGGCACUAUUAUUUGUUUUUUAUGACAAAGAUAAUGGUGGUGAUGAUAAUACAUUUAAUAAGAUUUGGCCAUGCAGAGGAAAUGAAAAAACUACGUAAAUGGUGAGUAGUGUCAGCGGUAGCAAAAUGAAAAGUGAAUGGGAUAUUGAGAUAGCGCAUGUGCGUUACAUUCGAGACCUGGAUCAACAACUCAUCAGAGAAAAUUUCUUUGGCUUACGUAUGGAGAACGUGAAGAAGAAACUGGGGUGAAAUGGUUACAGUGCGAGAUCACGAAACUGUGCUGCAAAGAUACCGAAAAGUGCAGGUGACAUACAUGAGGAAUGUGCCGUCGGUUUGAUGAGACUUUAGAACACAAAAUAGCGGAAUGCUCAGCUCCGAUGACGUCACCUUACAUUUUCUGAUCAGAUCUAACCUAACCUAACCUAACCUAACCUAACAAAACGUAACCUUAGCAUAGGUAGACAAACUCGGCUAUGUGGCCCAAUUCGCCCGAGGUCGCCUUUGUCGCCACAGGCACCGUAGUCACAUCGGUCGCCAAUUUGUCAAGGUCGUCCCGGUCGCAGUGAUCGGUAGUUCAUGUCGACGAAGUAGCAUAGAUCGAAACGGAGACUCUCCGCGGCCAUUGCUAUUAUUUAAUAAUUUAUUUCGAACCGCAAAGUAAAAACAACGCUUCGCCAAUAGAAAGAUAUUUGUUGACUCUGUUCAAAGAAAUGUUCGCUGUGUACACUAAAAAGCAUAUGAGAUAUAAAAGAGUUGAGGCUUGAAGAUUGUCAAGCAGGAAGGCAGGCCUUUACCAUUAGGCUUUAAAAGCUGGGGGCUGGGACUUAUUGACCUGAGUUGUGUUCCAUAUUUUGAUGACACCAAAUUAUUAGGUUAAAACGUAAGUACCAUAAAAGUGUAAAGCGGUUUUUUCACAAAACAGUAAAUGAAUUUAUCUAGACGGGGAAACAGAUAAGACGUGACAAGACAAGCAGGCCACAAAAUGAAUGUCUUUACAUUUUUUUUCGGUAAUGAAAUAUUAAUAUUCGUUACGAAGACGUUAUUACUGCAGCAUCAAACGUUAAAUUUUUGUAUCUCUUAUUCUUUAUAAGUCUGGAUCCACUACAGUCAUUUCGAGGCUGCACAUACUGUUGAAACCAUCUUAUUCAUGAUUUUGCUAAAUUCCGCUUUCCUCGAGGUUUGUAGUUGAAGACACUCUUUUAAUCUCUUGUCUGACAUCCAGUGAAUGAACCAUCUCCACAACUCUACAUCCUGGUGUUACUUAAUGUAGUCCCUGCCAUUUUUACAUUGUGUAAAGUUUGCUGCACGGUAAUCGCAAAGUGAAACUCUGGAUAAUUAAGUUUUAUUUCUGCCGAAUAUUGCAUCUCUGUUUUACAUAAUGAAGAAGAACCUAAGAGCAGUUAUGAUGUUGAAAUUAAAUACGAUUAAUCUGUGCUAUAUUUAAAAAAUAUGUCGAAAGAUCUGUAUUUAUUCUUAUUAAUUAUAAUACCUUAUUAGUCUUUAUUCACAGAUUUCUGGUAAACGUUAGUUCUGUAUGGGAAAUCAUUAUUACAAAUGGCUUGGUUGUCAGUCUAUUCGAAGUAUGAAUGUUAUAUACACCUUUUUGACCAAUGAUAUUUUUAGGUCCUGUCCGCCAAAAGUGUAUUUGAUAACAGUUCUGUAGCUAGCGAAACCGCGCGUAUAUUAUACAGCCCUAAUAAAAAUAGCAUGGAAUGUUAUUCCACACAUCAUCGAGAUAUCGAAUCGCAACAAUCAAUCGCCACAGCACCAUUCCUAUCAUACCACACACCCCCUCACACACGGUACACACAUAACAAGCGAAACAACUGGCCCAAACCAUCGGCUGUAUGCGGGGAAGGGACUUCCAAAUGAAUGGGCUUGCUGACACGCGAAAUGGACUCCAAAACUCGAGCACGGGUGGAAAUGAUAAAAUAGCCAAUAUCCUACAUGUUUUCCCAAACUGUGGAUCCAGUUACUAUACAAUAGAGUGAUAUUUUAUGGCAACAAAAACGAAUUGGUGAUGGUUGCAAAUUUUCAAUGGCGUUGGCUUUUGCGAGCAGGAAGCAAUAGAAUGGGAGGUGAGUUUAACAUUUAUUGUCGAAUUCCUCACUGUGUGUGUGUGUGUGUUUGCAAAACACUGUACGUUCCGAUACAACGCCGUGGGAUCCGAAAUGUAAGCAGGACUCUGAUUUAAAACAAGCCGGAUAAUAAUAUAAUUCCAAUCUGGAACCUACAGAAUUUCAUUCCAUGUGGAUAAAUAACCAUGUCAUACAGAUAGGGUAGGC